ensembl:rRNA 5S_rRNA 5S ribosomal RNA
GUCUACAGCCACACCAACCUGAACACGCCCGAUCUCGUCUGAUUUCGGAAGCUAAGCAGGUUAGUACUUGGAUGGGAGAAAUCACCUGGUUAGUACUUGGAUG